AAUUUGACCUUAAAACAACAACGAUUAACUACGAUUGUUAUAAAACAAGCUCGCAUUUUAUCUUCAUUACCCUUUCUUAAUAAUGAGAAAAGAAGAUUUCCACGAUCGUUUUUCUCAAUCAGAUCUUCUGCAUAUUGCUGAGUUCCAAGAGGAAGUAUACGCCCUAAAAAAGUUGUCCGACAAAGAUCCACCGCCUUCAAGACUUCAUUAUCUGCUUCUUGAAAGGUUUGGACGAGCGAUUUUCAGUUGUCAAAUCACAAAUUCUGCUCCUAGACCCUUUGCCUUCGGUCACCAAAGUUUUGCUUUGGUAAUACAACAUGAAAGACAAAUCAAUACAGCCAACCAGCAGAUUCUUGCCACUACCAUCGAUCCUCGCCGCCCCUUAUACAGCCAAGGUCGCGGCUUAGCUUCCACCGGCACCGGGCGCAGAAGUAAUUCUUCCGAACUCUACACUUAUUGUGGGCGGCAAGGCCACACGAUUGACGCGUGCUAUGGCAAACAUGGCUACCCGCCGGGGCAUCCUAGGUAUCCAAGCAAGCCACGCUUCAAUGGAAAAGGAACUGCAUCCAUCAAUAGCGCCAUCACACCUCCAUCCUCGUCAAGCAGUCAAGUUCAAAAGGAGAUGGUUGCAUCGAGUUCUCUUUCAGAUCCGGUUUUGAAUUUAAGCCCAACACAACAUAAGGCUCUUUUGGCAUAAAGUGGUGAAGACUAUCAUUCAUAUAUUAAGGAUGAGACAAAGGCCAUUGUCCCCACUCAAACUGGGCAUUUUUCAAACCCAACAUUGAGAUCUGACCAGCUUGAAGAUGAUUAAUUUGGGUAGAUUAAAGAAAGAAUUGUAUAUUCUUGAUCAAGUUUUUUUCACCGAUAAUUCACCACCCAUCGCCUCUAUCAAUGCCACAAGUAUUACACCCAUCAUAUCCUCAAACCUACGAUAUUUCUGUUUAGGUCAUGUUUCUG